rnacentral:lncRNA from 1 species
UAUUAGGCCUUGUAAGCCACACUUCAGAGACUAGACUCCACUCUGCGAGCAGUAACAGGUCAGAGGGGGUUCCAGAAAGAUUUUUCCAGUUGCCGGUGGAGUGUGGAGUGGCAGCUAGCGGCAUGGGUGGAGGACCAGCUCCGUUUGUAGGAGAGCAUGGAGAAGGGCAAACGAGAUGGCAAACAUGCCGGGUGCUUGUCCAUUGCCGUGAGGGCUACAGUCGCUCUCCAACGCUAGUCAUCGCCUACCUCAUGUUGCGACAGAAGAUGGAUGUCAGGUCUGCUCUGAGCACUGUGAGGCAGAAUCGUGAGAUCGGCCCCAACGAUGGUUUCCUGGCCCAACUCUGCCAGCUCAAUGACAGACUAGCCGAGGAGGGCAAGGUGAAACUC